CCCCUAGAUGUUCUGGGCCGCACGCGCGCUACACUGAACAGUUCAACAAGUCUUAACCUUGGCCGAUAGGUCUGGGUAAUCUUUGAACGCUGUUCGUGAUUGGGAUAGACCUUUGCAAUUAUGGGUCUUCAACGAGGAAUUCCUAGUAAACGCAAGUCAUCAGCUCGCAUUGAUUACGUCCCUGCCCUUUGUACACACCGCCCGUCGCACCUACCGAUUGAAUGGUCCGGUGAAAUCUCGGGACGGCGGCUUGGUCGCUUGCGUCCGACUGCUGAAACUUGAUUAAACCAUAUCAUUUAGAGGAAGGUGAAGUCGUAACA
rnacentral:rRNA from 1 species